rnacentral:lncRNA from 1 species
AAUUUACAGAAUUUCUAGACUUCAGCAAUCUGAUUUUUUAAAAUUUAUUUUAUUUUUUCAGGUCGAGGCUGAGCUGGAGUUAAUCUGUGGCGACAUGCUGGAGGUACUAGACAAACACCUCAUUCCAGCAGCUACCACUGCCCCCAUUCACUGGGGAGAAUGGAAAGAAAACAACUGACAACAUCCUCAAAUGUAAACUCAAUUUGCCUCCCUACCUCACACAAGAAGCCAGAGAUCUGCUUAAAAAGGCUCAUCCAUUCUUUAGACACAUUAACUGGGAAGAACUUCUGGCUGGAAAGGUGGAGCCCCCCCCCCCUUUAAACCUCUGUUGGUAAGUAUACAUGAAAGCAUAUAAUUGGGUGCAAGGGCUCAUACCUGUAAUCCCAAAACUUUAAAGGGCUGAGGUGGGAGGAUUGUUUGAAGCCAGAAGUUCAAGACCAGCAUGGGCAACAUAACAAGACUUCAUCUCUACAAAACAUUUAAAAGUUAGCUGGGC